rnacentral:lncRNA from 12 species
AAAACAGAAUGGUUGUAUGGGUACAGAACAGUUGUCAGUGUAUCAAUUGUUUACCCCUGUGACCAGAAGUUGCAGUUCUUAACAAAUACUUACUCGGUGCUUGCAAACACUUUGGUUUCCAGUGCCAACAAGAGCUCUAUCCAAAUCUUAGGGCCAGAAGAAAUUCAGCUGACAGUGUGGUUCUCCUCCAGGCUCACAGGAAUUCCCAGGUCAGAAGAAACUAUUUCCUACUUAUUCUUUCCUUUCCCUGAAAAUAAUCUUGGCCAAAGGAAAAGGAAAGGAAGACUCUCCUCAGCAAUCUGUAUCUCAGGUAAAUCUCCCAAAAGGCAAAUGAGAAAACUAUAGAGGAGAUGCUCACAGAUUUUUGAGUAGUUUUUAUAGACAUAGUUUCUGUGAAAACUCAUUGUAAAGCAAUAUAUCUUAGUAAUAUAUUAAUUUUUUAAAUAAUGGAAAUGCUCUCAUACAUUCAUUAAUUCAAUAUUCAUUAGGCUCUACUAAGUGCCAGAUAUCGUUCUAGGCAUUGGGGAUGUAGCAGUGAUUAAAACAAAGUCGCUGCUCUCAAAAGCUCAUGUUUCCAAGAGAGUGGAAGUGCAAAGAGACAAUACUCUUGACUUGAACCAGAGUGUAGCAAUGAGACCCCAGAGGGAAGAUUAAGGAGCAGCUGAAUAGGUGAAUCUUGAAUGCCAAAAGGAGGGUCGAACUGGGCAUAUGAAUGUGGGCCUGAAUGAGAUUACCAGAUGCAUGAAUGUGGAGGGAACGAGAAGGAGCGCAAAGCUGAAGCCUUGGCACUUUGAUGUGUGUAAAUGGGAAAUACAGGAAGAUCCCACAAAGGAAACAAGGAGUGACCAGGGCGGUAGGAAAUGAACUGAGAAAGCAGUAUCCUGGAAACCAAACAGAGAAAAAAAUUGUUACAAAGAAGAAAGAAUCACCAAUUGCACAAAAUGCUGCUGAGUAAAAUUAGGACUGAAUAUUGAGCAUGAAAUAAAGUGACAUGGAUCUCAUAAUAGAUCUUAGAA